GCCUUUGUGGUGUAGUGGUCAGCAAACUCGACGCGUAACCGAGAGGUCCGUGGGUCGAUUCCCCGCGAAGGCG
rnacentral:tRNA from 1 species